AUUGAACGCUGGCGGCAUGCCUAACACAUGCAAGUCGAACGGGGCGCUUCGGCGCCUAGUGGCGGACGGGUGAGUAAAGCGUAGGAAUCUGCCUUGCAGUGGGGGGACAACCUGGGGAAACUCAGGCUAAUACCGCAUACGCUCGCGAGAGGAAAGCGGGGGAUCUUCGGACCUCGCGCCGCAAGAAGAGCCUACGUCCGAUUAGCUAGUUGGUAGGGUAAAAGCCUACCAAGGCGACGAUCGGUAGCUGGUCUGAGAGGAUGAUCAGCCACACUGGGACUGAGACACGGCCUAGACUCCUACGGGAGGCAGCAGUGGGGAAUAUUGGACAAUGGGCGCAAGCCUGAUCCAGCAAUGCCGCGUGGGUGAAGAAGGCCUGCGGGUUGUAAAGCCCUUUAAGUGGGGAGGAACGGCGGGAUGCGAACAGUGUUCUGCUCUGACGUUACCCACAGAAUAAGCACCGGCUAACUCCGUGCCAGCAGCCGCGGUAA
rnacentral:rRNA from 1 species